UUGAACGCUGGCGGCAGGCCUAGCACCUGCAAGUCGAACGGUAACAGGAAGCAGCUUGCUGCUUUGCUGACGAGUGGCGGACGGGUGAGUAAUGUCUGGGAAACUGCCUGAUGGAGGGGGAUAACUACUGGAAACGGUAGCUAAUACCGCAUAACGUCGCAAGACCAAAGAGGGGGACCUUAGGGCCUCUUGCCAUCGGAUGUGCCCAGAUGGGAUUAGCUAGUAGGUGGGGUAACGGCUCACCUAGGCGACGAUCCCUAGCUGGUCUGAGAGGAUGACCAGCCACACUGGAACUGAGACACGGUCCAGACUCCUACGGGAGGCAGCAGUGGGGAAUAUUGCACAAUGGGCGCAAGCCUGAUGCAGCCAUGCCGCGUGUAUGAAGAAGGCCUUCGGGUUGUAAAGUACUUUCAGCGGGGAGGAAGGGAGUAAAGUUAAUACCUUUGCUCAUUGACGUUACCCGCAGAAGAAGCACCGGCUAACUCCGUG
rnacentral:rRNA from 1 species